rnacentral:lncRNA from 1 species
CAAGAGAUUUUCAUAUUUUAAGGCCAUCAUUUGUUACUGUCACAAAUAUCAAUUUCAACAAAAGCCUGCUUUUCUACAUUCCUAUUUUGAGGAAAGGACAAAAUAAAAGGUCUAUUGUUGUAAAAAGUAUUCUCAAUGCUUGCUGAAAGUCUUGCAGUUAAGGUGACAAAAAAAGGAAUGUCCAUGAUGUAUAUGACUCAAACUGAAAAAGAGAUACAAUUUCAAUGUGUCAAGCUGAAAAGUUGUAGCAACUAAAGCAUCUUCUGUUAAAGUUCCCUACAUACUAAGACAAACGAUGAAGAUCAGGACAUACGUUGUGGCUUAACCCCAAUCGGCAACUAAGUACUGCACAGCUGCUUGCUCACCCUCCCUCCUCUUCCCCCAUGGAUUGAGAUAAAACAGUUUAAUAAUUGAAAUAAAUUAAAAUGCAAUAAUAAUAAUAGUGGGGGGGGGGAAAGAUAUAGAGAGAAAAACCCCAAGAAACACAUGUAAUAUUAAUAAUAAUUAUAGAAAAUAAAAAGAUAGAGAGGAAUAAACCCCAAGAAACACAAGUGAUGCACAAUACAAUUGCUCGCCACCCACUGACCAAUACCCAGCCUGACCCAAGCAGCGAUAGGCCCCUCCCGCUCAAUUCCCCCCAGUUUCUAUACUGGGCAUGAUGUGCUGUGGUAUGGAAUAACCCUUUGGCUAGUUUGGGUCAGGUGUCCUGUCUCUGCUUCCUCCAGGCUUCUUGUGUCCCUCCUCACUGGCAGAACAUGAGACACUGAAAAGUCCUGGAUAAGGGUAAGCGCUACUAAGCAACAACUAAAACAUCAGAAUGUUAUUGGCAUUAUUCUCAGACUAAAUCCAAAACAGCACUGUACCAGCUACAAAGAAGAAAAUUAACUCUAUCCCAGACAAAACCAGGCCACGGUUUUCUUAAUCUUGCACCCCUACGGCACCUAGGCCCAUUAAGAGUGUACCCAAAUCUGUAACCACACUCUACAGGGCAGAAAAUCUAAAUAUAUGACUCCAUAGUGAGAAAAUGAGAACUAAAUUCAAGCUUAAUCCAAAAGCCACUGAAUCUUCCUCAUCACAAUGACCCUCUAUCCC